GUCUGCGGUUGGCAGGGGGCUUGGGGGACAGUCCAGGAGGCCCACGCAGUGCUCCAGGAGAGAGAUGGUGGCGACUUGGACUAAGGGAUGGGGGCGAUGGAGGGAAGUGGACAGUCCUGAGGGAAUCUUGCAGAAGGAUGGAUCAGUCAUGGUGCUGGUGGGCUCUGGGGUCCUGUGCCCCGAAGAGCUUCCUUCCUCCUUCCACACGCCUCCCAGUGCCUCCCAGGAUUGCAACUUGGCGGAACUGAGCAGGGAGAAGCAGCAGCUUCAAGGACGCUCCUCAGCGUGGAACGAGAAACAAUGUCACCCUCGGAGAGGAGUGUACCUCUCAGCCCACUGGCCAGCACUCCAUGUUCCUCCCUUUAGGAAAGACCCAGCUUCCACUGGCCUAGUGUGUGUGCACACACGUGUGCCUUCUGGUCAUUGCUCCAGAACACGAGGAGGGAAGAAACAGAAAAUCAUCAAAGAGGAAAAUUAACGGCUGGAGAGGGCAUUGUUAACCCUUAUGGCUUGGCUCACCUGGCUUUCCACCCCGCAGCUCCGCGUGCACCCGCCAAAGCGGCUGAGUCUUUUUAUGACUACAACUCCAAGAAGGGAAAAAAGACGCGAAAAGAAGAGGGGGGGAAAAAACCAAACCAGGAGGCAGAGGAGAAAAAAGCAAAAGAAAAGAGAAAGAGAAUUAAACCAUUAAUCUGCCUGGAUUUUCCACUUCACAGAGUAAUCAGUUUGGAAGUGACUGAAAUAAAGUGGAAUGUACGAUUCCCACCAUCUCCUCCCUCCAGUCCACAUUUCUUAUUUACAGAAAAACGGGGAGCCAGAGAGGCGGCCUCCUUGCCCCCCACAAAGGCCUCCAGUGUCCGCUCGAGACGAGGACAAGGACCCCAGCCCUCAGCCGCAGCUGCCCGAUGCCUCGACACCCGGGCGACGGCCGCCCUGAGCUGGAGGUGCAAAGCCAAGAUGAUUUAAUUUAUAGAAAGGACAAGGAUGUCGUGUAGCAGAUUUAAUCAUCGGAGAGUUUAAAAAAAAAUAAGGACCGGGCUAAUGUCGUAAUUUACAUUUCAGGAUAAUAAAGAGAGAAAGACAGACAAGGAAGGGCCCUAGCCAGCGAGGGAGUGAGGAGGGGAGGCCGACCAGGGGGCCGAGGGAGCCCAAUAGAUUUGCCUGAAACACCAAUAAAUUUAAAAACAAACCCAGAAAGCUAAAGACAGCCCCUGGAAAGUGCUGGGAAAAUGGAC
rnacentral:lncRNA from 1 species